CUGGCAUCGAUGAAGAACGCAGCGAAAUGCGAUAAGUAAUGUGAAUUGCAGAAUUCAGUGAAUCAUCGAAUCUUUGAACGCACAUUGCGCCCAUUAGUAUUCUAGUGGGCAUGCCUGUUCGAGCGUCAUUACAACCCUAAAGCCUAGCUUUGUGUUGGGAGACUGCGCUAAACCGCAGCUCCUCAAAACCAGUGGCGGAGUCCUCUCGUGCUCUGAGCGUAGUAAUUACUUAUCUCGCUUCUUGUAACACGGUGGUCGACGGCCAUAAACCGCACUCCUUCGGGGGGCACUUUUUAAUGGUUGACCUCGGAUCAGGUAGGAAUACCCGCUGAACUUAAGCAUAUCAAUAAGCGGAGGAAAAGAAACCAACAGGGAUUGCCCUAGUAACGGCGAGUGAAGCGGCAACAGCUCAAAUUUGAAAUCUGGCUUUCGGGUCCGAGUUGUAAUUUGUAGAGGAUGCUUUUGGUUAGGUACCUUCCGAGUUCCUUGGAACAGGACGCCUUAGAGGGUGAGAGCCCCGUACGGUUGGAUGCCGAGCCUCUGUAAAGCUCCUUCGACGAGUCGAGUAGUUUGGGAAUGCUGCUCUAAAUGGGAGGUAAAUUUCUUCUAAAGCUAAAUACCGGCCAGAGACCGAUAGCGCACAAGUAGAGUGAUCGAAAGAUGAAAAGCACUUUGAAAAGAGGGUUAAAUAGUACGUGAAAUUGUUGAAAGGGAAGGGCUUGUGACCAGACCUUUGCCUUGCGGAUCAUCCGGUGUUCUCACCGGUGCACUCCGCUUGGUUGAGGCCAGCAUCAGUUCUGGCGGCGGGAUAAAGACUUCAGGAAUGUGACUCCCCCGGGAGUGUUAUAGCCUGUUGUGUAAUACCGCCACUGGGACUGAGGACCGCGCUUCGGCUAGGAUGCUGGCAUA
rnacentral:rRNA from 1 species